UUUUUUUUUUUUUUUUAGAUUUAUUUAUUUGAAAGAAUGAGGAAGAGGCAGAAGGAGGGAAUCUUCAAGCAGAUUCCCUACUCAACAAAAAGCCUGACAUGGGGCUUGAUCCAUGAGAUCAUAACCCUGAGCUUGAAACUAAGAGUUGUAUGCUCAACUGACUAAGCUACCCAGACACCCCCAGCCUUAGGAUUUUGGAUAAGCUUUCUGAGGGUAUGACUGCUGUAUACAUUUGUGCAGGUUGGAUUCUGCACAAGGAGACCACAUUGAAGCUGUGCCAUUCACAUAGAAAACACACACAGUUUUUCAACAAGUAGCAGCAAAAGUGCUUUGUUUCUUUGUUCUAACAAAAGUAGUAUAAGAAUUUUCCAACAGGUGGGAGAAAAGCAUCUUAAAGAAGGGAUGCAUUUUUCUAAUCAGUCCAAAGGUAAAUGAGCAUAGACAAGAGAUAGCCCUGCCACAGGCCCUUAGAGCUGAAGUUAGAUCUCAUAGAGUCCUUUGGCUCAGAUACUCACAGAUCCACAGAUAGACACUUUUGUCAUUAUCACAUGACAUUUACUCUCAUGCACAUGGAAGAAAUGGCCUUUAUCCUGUUCCCCAGGUGAUUACACAGGAUUGCUAGGUACAUCCGAAAGAGUUCAGGUUAGUCUCUCUCCUCAUCCUGGAUCCUCUAGAAAUUCUAAGAAAAAGAGCCAGGAAUUUAGAAGCAGGAUUUUGGGGAAGAACUUGGGGCUUAGAAUUCUGACUGUGUUUCUGGGCAAUUGCAGUUCCAAAUUCAACUGCUGCUUUCCCCAUGGAUCCUCUUCCCCUCAAGAGGUUGCUGUGGGGCACCUGGGUGGCUCAGUGGUUCAGUGUCUGCCUUUGGCUCAGGGUGUGAUCCUCAGGUCUGGGAUUGAGUCCUGCAUCAGGCUCCCCCUGGGGAGCCUGCUUCUCCCUCUGCCUGUGUCUCUGCCUCUCUCUGUGUGUCUCUCAUGAAUAAAUAAAUGAAAUCUUUUUUAAAAAUGACGUUUCUAUGAAUACCUGGUCUCUAUCCUGCUGCAGUGACUCAGAUAAGAGUGAUGAUCAGAUUGAGUGAGUGAGAGGAGCAUUUGCGGGGGAGAGCUGCAUACACCUGGGCAGGGUCUCAGGGCAUCAUGCACCACAUUCUCUUUGUUUCCCACUUCCAGUUCCACUUUACCUUUUUAGCCGGCCAUCUGGCCUGGUUGUCUUCAGUCAGUGGGAAGUCAGAACCUGGGAGUUUGGAGAGAGAGAGAAGAGUGAGUUGGAGUAUCCAGUCCUCCAGUUCUCUCUCUAUAGGCUGGCUGCACUUCUCAACAAAAAGUUACAGUUCCUGCCAAGGACAUUUUGCACACAGUACUCUGUUCCAGCUCCAGGGAAUCCCCCUCCUGUUACCCCUUCAGGCCCAGAAGUAGUAAUGACACCUUCCUGUCACUCCCAGCAUAGUGCCUUCUCCCCUGUGGUUUCCUUACACCCAGCCUACACCACUGUGUAAGUAGUCUGUUUAUCAAUUGCCUGCCUCAAACUCGAAUGUGCCAUCUGGUUCCUACCAGGUCCCAACUUUAUAAAAGCAGGGAGGGCUUGAAACCAGAAAUCUAGGAAACCAAACUCCAUCCCAUAUAUGUGUGAGUGCAUGUGUGUCCAUGUGUGCAUGUAAAUCAACCUGACCCAUUGCUGGCUCUUCAGGGAGAACAGAUUUUGGAAGAGGAGAACCUGGUGUGCUUGUGUCUUUGCAUGAGCACCUAGUAUAUCAGAGCAGAUUCUAUUUAUGUGUUUGUUAAUCUCAAGAAACUCUGAGUGCUUGAUAAAUGGCAGGAUCUUUACCAGGUACAGCAGAUAAAGGACUAAGGCUUGGUUUUGUCUUCAGGAUUUAUAGGUUUUUUUGGGACAGGGUUAGAGAGAAAUGUUACUUGGUAGGUUUUAUAAAACUAUGUGAUUGACACCGUACUACGAGAUUUAGCAAAUCUUUGUUGGAGCCCAGAAUAAGGGUGAUUGAAGCUUUCUAAUAAAGGCAGUGAAGGAGGGGUGGAAGAGUGAAAAUUUGCAAAAAGUCAAUUCAUAUUCUAUUAACCUGAUUCUGUCACCCUGUAAGC
rnacentral:lncRNA from 1 species